rnacentral:tRNA from 1 species
UGGACCGAGGAGCAGCGGCUCGCUCACCAGACUUGAGAACCUGGAGGUCGUCGGUUCGAUUCCGACCGGUGCAA